CCGCACAAGCGGUGGAGCAUGUGGUUAAUUCGAAGCAACGCGAAGAACCUUACCAGGUCUUGACAUCCCCUGACAACCCGAGAGAUCGGGCGUUCCCCUUCGGGGGACAGGGUGACAGGUGGUGCAUGGUUGUCGUCAGCUCGUGUCGUGAGAUGUUGGGUUAAGUCCCGCAACGAGCGCAACCCUCGACCUUAGUUGCCAGCAUUCAGUUGGGCACUCUAAGGUGACUGCCGGCUAAAAGUCGGAGGAAGGUGGGGAUGACGUCAAAUCAUCAUGCCCCUUAUGACCUGGGCUACACACGUGCUACAAUGGGCGGUACAAAGGGUCGCGAACCCGCGAGGGGGAGCCAAUCCCAAAAAGCCGCUCUCAGUUCGGAUUGCAGGCUGCAACUCGCCUGCAUGAAGCCGGAAUCGCUAGUAAUCGCGGAUCAGCAUGCCGCGGUGAAUACGUUCCCGGGCCUU
rnacentral:rRNA from 1 species